ensembl:lncRNA
ACUAAACAUGGCUGUGUUUUUGCCCCUUACUUUCUAAGAUUUUUCAUUUAAAAAAAAAAAAAAAAAAAGAGUUGUUUUGUUUCAUUUUCAUCCUUGUUUGCUGUUUUGUUUUCCCAUGGCAAAUAUCCAGGCUCUGUGGACACAGACUUUAUGCUGCUUGAGGGAGGAGAUGUGAAAAUGAUACCGUCCUUCAGAGAAUCAUAAUACAGUCGAUCAGUAAGAAGGCUCCGCAGUCACCAGUUUUUCCUACCUCCAAGUUAGACUUGAGCUGCAAGCCAGGUGACCUCAUGUGCUUCUCCUAUUUGCCAAGCUGAAAGGAAGACGUCAGGCUUAGGUCUGCUACUGGAAGCCAUCUUCAGUGUAAAGAAAGAUAAAGAAUUUUGCAAAACAAUCAUCAAAAAUUCUGAAAUUUAUUUGCCACGCAAAACUAUUUGCAGAACAUCAGUACUGUUUUCUUGUUGUUGUUUUUUUUUUAAUUAUAUUUGACAAAUAAUAAAUUAUACAGACUCCUUAAUCCAAGUCAAUAUUCACUAGGAAAAUACUUACAUAAUCUUCAUAGUCAUGUUCUUCAAAAAACUGAAGCAAGUGCAUACGGCUCAGUUGCAUAUGGGACCUUUUAGAGCUGGACUGGGUGACCCACUGGGGUCCUUUCCUACCUGAAUUACACUGCCAUCCUAAAAAUCACUGUUUACUGUGCUUCUGAUGGACACAGACCAUAAAUUCCUGAUGCUAAAUAUCAAAGCCACUAGUGUAACCACCGUCUCCAGAACAGACUGAUCCCAAGAGAUUUGAUCAUGAUGGAGAUGCACAACACUUCUUCUUGGGAAAUAGAUUUAGAUGUAUUGCUGCUUCUGAAAUACUGGACCUUCUAUUCUUGGCUGUCACCGCAGGGAUUUGGGAUUUCUGUCUUGGUCAUGAGGGUACGUGACUUGGGGCAUGGGAGAGUGCAGGUUUGGGAGGGUGACCAAGCCAGACCCAUCCUACUCCAACACAGAAUUACCUCUCCAUUCUGUAGGGACUCACCCUCAGAUCUUCUACAUUGUUUCUACAAGGCCACGUUAAUUAAAGGAGAGGGGAACAAAAAGACCAAGAUCUGGGACAGAGGUUUUAAAGGGAAGUUUAUUCAGGUUUCUCCAUCCCACAAAAUGCAAACAGUGAAAGGAACAACCUAAAAACUGCAUGUCAGAAAACAAAGAAGGGGAAGGGACGGAUGUGCUUAGAAUGGAAAACACAGUCUUUAACUGCAAAUAUGAUUAUUUCUUGUCCAAUAUUUGUAUUUUUGUGUGUGUGGUGCUUUCCUCUGUAAACACUGCAGUUAGCAUAGGUUUAGCCAAACCCAAGUCAGGCAUCUCUUCAUCCCUAGCAGCAAUAUACUGUGAAAUUAAAAGGCUGAUUAAUGAAGUUGCCAUUCCGAUAGGCAGCUCUUACUGCUCUUCCAUAAUUCAAAGGGUGAGUCGAGAUACAGGUGUCGAUAGCUUAAAUGUAUGCUGACAUGCCUGGUGCUAAAGCGAUGGUAGAAGGGGAUGUUUGUAAAUGAUGGAAACAUUAUUUCAGCAAAGGAGCUCUUCAGAGCUGAAAACACAGAACCACAGCUAGCUGGUAAACAUCGGUGUUAAAUGCAGUGGGAAUCAGAGUAGCUGCAACUCAAGGUCUGAGCAGACUUCACACUGUUAGUGUGGGCUGGGGGAAAGAGAGUUUGCACACAGUGCUAGGUGACCCCAGAUGCUGGUGCUCACAUUUGUAAGCUGCCCUGCAACACUGGCCUCUGCCAGGGGCAAAGAAAGCUACAGAGCAGAGAGCCUUCUUUUUAAUGCAGUUUUCCUUGCUUAUUCAUUUUCUUUGCAUUUAACCCUAACAGAGAUUUACUUUGACAAUUGGGAGAAGGGAGGUAAGCGCAAGCAGGUGCAUGAGGCUUAGAUGCAGCUUGGAUAUGAUAACAAUAACAACAACAACAACAACAACAACAAAAUAAACUAACUGAAAAAAAAAAAAAGGAAAAAAAAGCAGAAUAGCAAAUGUUAUAGUAUUAGGUUGAAUCUCCUUAAUGUAGCUCUUGCACAAAUCUGAAGCUAAGAGUAUUAGGUUCCUGAAUGUGACUGUGAUGUGAGACCUAACUAUGAAAUAAGUUUAUAUCAUAGAAUCACAGAAUCAUUGAAUAGCCUGGGUUGAAAAGGACCAUAAUGAUCCUUGAGUUUCAACCCCCCUACUAUGUGCAGGGUUGCCAAUCACUAGACCAGGCUGCCCAGAGCCACAUCCAACCUGGGAUAUAUAUUUGAAAUAUAUAUUUGAAAUGAUUGCCCAUAAUCCAUAAGUACUGACUCUCACCAGUCAGUAAUUAAUAAUUAAAAAAAAAAAGAAUAAACAGAUAUUUAACAUUUUAAUACACCCGUAAUGCGACCUCAGAUAUUUCAACAGACAGAGGUAUUCAUGGGUGGCUGAUGUUAACUGGUUGAAAAAUGCCUGGAGUGAACCAAAAUGUGUAAACUGAGAAUAAAAAAGCUUUUUUUUUUUUUUUUAAUUGUCUAUUUAUUUAUUUAUUCUGUCUUUCUGACUAUUUUUCUCUUCAGCGGAAUGUCCUUCUUUCACAGCUUUCCCUUUGUUAGAUCCAGUGAGAUCCACCACUC